CCUACGGGAGGCUGCAGUGAGGAAUAUUGGUCAAUGGGCGCGAGCCUGAACCAGCCAAGUAGCGUGAAGGAUGACUGCCCUACGGGUUGUAAACUUCUUUUAUAAAGGAAUAAAGUGAGGCACGUGUGCCUUUUUGUAUGUACUUUAUGAAUAAGGAUCGGCUAACUCCGUGCCAGCAGCCGCGGUAAUACGGAGGAUCCGAGCGUUAUCCGGAUUUAUUGGGUUUAAAGGGAGCGUAGAUGGGUUGUUAAGUCAGUUGUGAAAGUUUGCGGCUCAACCGUAAAAUUGCAAUUGAUACUGGCAGCCUUGAGUACAGUAGAGGUAUGCGGAAUGCGUGGUGUAGCGGUGAAAUGCUUAGAUAUCGCGAAGAACUCCGAUUGCGAAGGCAGCAAACUAACCUGCCACUGACAUUGAUGCUCGAAAGUGUGGGUAUCAAACAGGAUUAGAUACCCUUGUAGUC
rnacentral:rRNA from 1 species